rnacentral:rRNA from 1 species
CCUACGGGUGGUAGCAGUGGGGAAUAUUGCACAAUGGGGGAAACCCUGAUGCAGCGACGCCGCGUGAGUGAAGAAGUAUUUCUGUAUGUAAAGCUCUGUCAGCAGGGAAGAAAAUGACGGUACCUGACCAAGAUUCCCCGGCUAACUACGUUCCAGCAGCCGCGGUACUACGUAGGGGGCAAGCGUUAUCCGGAUUUACUGGGUGUAAAGGGAGUGUAGACGGUAGGGCAAGUCUGGAGUGAAAGGCGGGGGCUCAACCCCGGGACUGCUCUGGAAACUGCCAGGCUGGAGUGCAGGAGAGGUAAGUGGAAUUCGUAGUGUAGCGGUGAAAUGCGUAGAUAUUAGGAGGAACACCAGUGGCGAAGGCGGCUUACUGGACUGUAACUGACGUUGAGGCUCGAAAGCGUGGGGAGCAAACAGGAUUAGAUACCCGGGUAGUC